rnacentral:rRNA from 1 species
AGGACGAACGCUGGCGGCGUGCUUAACACAUGCAAGUCGAGCGGAAAGGCCCUUCGGGGUACUCGAGCGGCGAACGGGUGAGUAACACGUGAGUAAUCUGCCCCUAGCUCUGGGAUAGCUCCGGGAAACCGGGAUUAAUACCGGAUACGACCACUUUAGACAUCUGUUGUGGUGGAAAGAAUUUUGGCUAGGGAUGAGCUCGAGGCCUAUCAGCUUGUUGGUGGGGUAACGGCCUACCAAGGCGACGACGGGUA